AAGUAGUCUGCACUUGGUCUAGGAGAACACAGUAACUUUUUAAUAUUUGUUAGAUCCAUCUGACUAGCUGUGUUAAAGUAGCAAAUGUCAUUGUAUAUCGUAUCAUUGUAUGAUGCGAAUUAACAAGCAGAUAUUAAACAAAAACGGAAACAACUAAUUUAAUAAAUCUUAUUGCAAUCACCAGUUACAGUCUGUCUUUGUAUAUC
rnacentral:lncRNA from 1 species